CGGGUGAGUAACACGUAGGUAACCUGCCCAGAAGCGGGGGACAACAUUUGGAAACAGAUGCUAAUACCGCAUAACAACGUUGUUCGCAUGAACAACGCUUAAAAGAUGGCUUCUCGCUAUCACUUCUGGAUGGACCUGCGGUGCAUUAGCUUGUUGGUGGGGUAAUGGCCUACCAAGGCGAUGAUGCAUAGCCGAGUUGAGAGACUGAUCGGCCACAAUGGGACUGAGACACGGCCCAUACUCCUACGGGAGGCAGCAGUAGGGAAUCUUCCACAAUGGGCGCAAGCCUGAUGGAGCAACACCGCGUGAGUGAAGAAGGGUUUCGGCUCGUAAAGCUCUGUUGUUAAAGAAGAACACGUAUGAGAGUAACUGUUCAUACGUUGACGGUAUUUAACCAGAAAGUCACGGCUAACUACGUGCCAGCAGCCGCGGUAAUACGUAGGUGGCAAGCGUUAUCCGGAUUUAUUGGGCGUAAAGAGAGUGCAGGCGGUUUUCUAAGUCUGAUGUGAAAGCCUUCGGCUUAACCGGAGAAGUGCAUCGGAAACUGGAUAACUUGAGUGCAGAAGAGGGUAGUGGAA
rnacentral:rRNA from 1 species